ensembl:lncRNA
GGUUUUCUUCUCGGCCUGGGAUGCCUGCACCUCCACACUUCCAGCCCUGUCCUACGGCCAGGCUGGAUCGCUGUUGGUAUGGCAACGCUUCCCUGCACCAACCAAACCGUGAAAGAUGUUUCACUCUGCUAUGUUAAGUCAUAUUGACAUACUGCCAUGAAGUGGAAGCAACUGCUACUUUUAACAUUGCUCCAUAUCUUUAUUAAAAGAGUCAUCAAUCUCUUGAGAGUCAUCUUGCCAUCUGUACCAGCAUUGCUCCAGGCUUCCAUAUGAAAGUCCAAUCUGGCGGUAUAAAUACUGGAUAAUGAAGACACUGGCAGAGUCUUUACUCUGCACACCACUGCUGACCCCAGAAGUGACCCACAGGAACUACUGGCAAAAGGAGUGAAAAGAUGGAGAGGACGGAAGACUUCCAGAAGGUCUCAUGUACUGGGUGGUACAGCCCUUUUCUACCUGUCAGCCAAGCAUUUCAGCCCUAAUUCAAAUAAAACUCUUAGGCAUUCUGUUGGGAGAGGUAGAAUUUUUUGUUUUGGUUGGCAUCAGGUUGACUGCGCUUCUCUGGGCAAGGGGGUGACCACCCUGAGUCUCAUCACUGAAAAAGUGUGGCAAAACCUGAUCUUGCUGGAAGAGGCAGCUCAGAAAACAACAUUUGGGUCAGUACUGAUAUCCACACUGUUGAUUAUAUGACCAUAAUUUUGGUUCUAAUUCACUUUGUCAUUCCCAUCAUACAGAUUCCAGUCUCCUAAAUAUGUGGCACCAGUGGAAAUCUACAGUGAAGCAAAAUUAGUCUUAAUAUUGUAUUUCAUUCUUAGAUUGCCUUCUUAGCACUGACCUUCAGCCUCUUUAAUUAAAAGUUUGCAAACAUGCAUUCCUUAAGUAAUUUCUGACCUUCACAGCUGGUUAUGAGGCAGCUGUAGUUGAAAUUUUUGAGCAAAGUCUCUUUCCCUCUCUCAGGGGCCUCCACUUUUUCAGUUUUGGAAAUGACUUAUUAACUUUGCAGCCAUUGGGACAACUCUCCAAAGAAAUGAAGUUUCUUGAUGAACAUGCACAAUUUUUCUCUGCACAUCAAAGAGUUCAGAUUUUCACUCCACUUGUCAGAGACUACUGAUAAUUACUUUUAUUAACCAUCUCACAAAUAACAAAUGUGUGAGGUCAAAAAAAGUCUCAUUUGAACUUUAUGGUUUCAUGUGUGAAAAAAGAAAUGCUACUAAGAGUAACUACGAGUGUUGGGUAAGGAGCCAUAAUUUUCUCAGUAAAAGAGAGCCCAUUAAGAAGACAAAGAUAUUGGGGUGCUGCUCAAGUGCUCCUGAGAUUUUGUUCUGAUAAUUAUUUGCAGGUGUGUUUAAAACUACUUGUCUCUGUAUGCUGCUUUGAGGAAUAAAGGUGCUUUGCUACAUCUUUCA